AAUACAUGCAAGUCGAGCGGACAGAAGGGAGCUUGCUCCCGGAUGUUAGCGGCGGACGGGUGAGUAACACGUGGGUAACCUGCCUGUAAGACUGGGAUAACUCCGGGAAACCGGAGCUAAUACCGGAUAGUUCCUUGAACCGCAUGGUUCAAGGAUGAAAGACGGUUUCGGCUGUCACUUACAGAUGGACCCGCGGCGCAUUAGCUAGUUGGUGGGGUAAUGGCUCACCAAGGCGACGAUGCGUAGCCGACCUGAGAGGGUGAUCGGCCACACUGGGACUGAGACACGGCCCAGACUCCUACGGGAGGCAGCAGUAGGGAAUCUUCCGCAAUGGACGAAAGUCUGACGGAGCAACGCCGCGUGAGUGAUGAAGGUUUUCGGAUCGUAAAGCUCUGUUGUUAGGGAAGAACAAGUGCGAGAGUAACUGCUCGCACCUUGACGGUACCUAACCAGAAAGCCACGGCUAACUACGUGCCAGCAGCCGCGGUAAUACGUAGGUGGCAAGCGUUGUCCGGAAUUAUUGGGCGUAAAGGGCUCGCAGGCGGUUUCUUAAGUCUGAUGUGAAAGCCCCCGGCUCAACCGGGGAGGGUCAUUGGAAACUGGGAAACUUGAGUGCAGAAGAGGAGAGUGGAAUUCCACGUGUAGCGGUGAAAUGCGUAGAGAUGUGGAGGAACACCAGUGGCGAAGGCGACUCUCUGGUCUGUAACUGACGCUGAGGAGCGAAAGCGUGGGGAGCGAACAGGAUUAGAUACCCUGGGUAGUCCACGCCGUAAACGAUGAGUGCUAAGUGUUAGGGGGGUUUCCGCCCCUUAGUGCUGCAGCUAACGCAUUAAGCACUCCGGCCUGGGGAGUACGGUCGCAAGACUGAAACUCAAAGGAAUUGACGGGGGCCCGCAC
rnacentral:rRNA from 1 species